rnacentral:rRNA from 1 species
CUGGCUCAGAACGAACGCUGGCGGCAAGCUUAACACAUGCAAGUCGAACGGAUUAUCUUUUAUAGCUUGCUAUAAAAGAUAAUUAGUGGCAGACGGGUGAGUAAUGCAUAGGAAUCUACCUAGUAGUAUGGGAUAGCCACUAGAAAUGGUGGGUAAUACUGUAUAAUCCCUGCGGGGGAAAGAUUUAUCGCUAUUAGAUGAGCCUAUGUUAGAUUAGCUAGUUGGUAGGGUAAAGGCCUACCAAGGCGAUGAUCUAUAGCUGGUCUGAGAGGAUGAUCAGCCACACUGGAACUGAGAUACGGUCCAGACUCCUACGGGAGGCAGCAGUGGGGAAUAUUGGACAAUGGGCGCAAGCCUGAUCCAGCUAUGCCGCGUGAGUGAGGAAGGCCUUAGGGUUGUAAAACUCUUUCAGUAGGGAAGAUAAUGACGGUACCUACAGAAGAAGUCCCGGCAAACUCCGUGCCAGCAGCCGCGGUAAUACGGAGGGGGCAAGCGUUGUUCGGAAUUAUUGGGCGUAAAGGGCAUGUAGGCGGUUCGGUAAGUUAAAGGUGAAAUGCCAGGGCUUAACCCUGGAGCUGCUUUUAAUACUGCCAGACUAGAGUCCGGGAGAGGAUAGCGGAAUUCCUA